rnacentral:rRNA from 1 species
UUAGAUACCCUGGUAGUCCACACAGUAAACGAUGGGGCACUAGUUGUGGAAACCUUCCACGGUUUCUGCGACGCAGCUAACGCAUUAAGUGCCCCGCCUGGGGAGUACGAUCGCAAGAUUAAAACUCAAAGGAAUUGACGGGGCCCCGCACAAGCAGCGGAGCAUGCGGCUUAAUUCGACGCAACGCGAAGAACCUUACCAAGGCUUGACAUAUACAGGAAUAUGGCAGAGAUGUCAUAGCCGCAAGGUCUGUAUACAGGUGGUGCAUGGUUGUCGUCAGCUCGUGUCGUGAGAUGUUGGGUUAAGUCCCGCAACGAGCGCAACCCUCGUUCUGUGUUGCCAGCAUUUAGUUGGGGACUCACAGGAGACUGCCGGGGUCAACUCGGAGGAAGGUGGGGAUGACGUCAAAUCAUCAUGCCCCUUAUGUCUUGGGCUGCACGCAUGCUACAAUGGCUGGUACAAAGGGCUGCAAUACUGCAAAGUGGAGCGAAUCCCAAAAAGCCAGUCUCAGUUCGGAUUGGGGUCUGCAACUCGACCCCAUGAAGUCGGAGUUGCUAGUAAUCGUAGAUCAGCAACGCUACGGUGAAUACGUUCCCGGGGCUUGUACACACCGCCCGUCACAUCACGAAAGUCGGUAACACCCGAAG